rnacentral:lncRNA from 1 species
CACGGUGACGUCAUAGCGUGAUUACAAAUAUGUUUAGAUUUCUGAAAUAGCGUCAAUUUGUUCAUAAGAUUGUGAGGAGUAUCAUGGAGGUCCGUGAUGUCAUCUCAAUAUUGAGGAUUCUCCUUGGAAGGAGGGACUUCUAGUUCAUAAAUAACAACUGGGGUGUUCUAAAGUCACUCAUUCUGAGGAUAAAUAUGACUAGUCUAUCAGUGUAAAACUUUAUAUGAAUUCACCACGUAGUCUAUUGGUAAAAUAGACACCCAUUCUGAGGAUAUAUAGCUUAUAGUCUAUCAGUGUAAACUAUUGGGAAAAGAGACACUCAAUCUGAGGAUAAACGGCUAGUCUAUGUAAAACUUUAUAAGAAGUCACCACGUAGUUUGUUUGGUAAAAUAGACACUCAUCCUGUGGCAGUAUGACUAGUCUAUCAAUGUAAAACUUUGUAAAAAGUCACCACGUAGUCUAUUGGUAUAAUAGACACUCUUCCUGUGGAUGAAUGGCUAGUCCAUCAUUGUAAAACUGCACAAAAAGUCACCACAUAGUCUAUAGGUUCUAUCCGAACGAGGUCCAACCGUGCGUUCUAACGUCAUCUAACAUGGAGAACAACCAGUGUUUUCAGGUUCAGCUGAUCGCAAUUCAAAAUGGCGUCCUAGCAACCAAACCAGAAGUGACAUUAUCACAGCUUCUACACUAGAUACAGAUAUACAGUAAAGUGUGUUGGAAAGUUACUAUCCGGCCAAGGUCAAAACCAACCUGUAGAAGAAAACUUGUGUUCUAACUUGAUCUAACACGGAGAAACACCAUUACGUUCAUGCUCAGCUGAUCGGUAGGCAACACAACUGUCGUCAACUAUAAAGACGUAUUCUUGGAUAGGUUUUCAACAUACCCUGGAGAUAUACCAAGUGAAAUACGCAAGAUGCUUGCUGCGUACUAUUUUAUUUACUCGCCAGAACAGGGUCACAACAUUGAGUGCAGUUUAUGCGCAGCCAAAAGGGCAUUUCCAGUGGGUCUCCCUAAUCUGGAAGAGCUUCGCUGUCUCCAUAACCCUAACUGUGAGGUAUCCAAAUACCAGCGCAUUGUGGAGUACCAAUUGGCCAUAUCGGGAACUCGUCUAGUGUAAAGACAAGGAUACAGACAGGAGGAAAUCAAACAGAACUUUGAAAAAGAGGAAAAACACAUUUUAUUGACUUUCAGAUGGGUAUAAAAACUCUUUCUUGAUAUGUCCAUUGCAGAACCUUGCAAUAUAAAUCUUUGUUUUACCUAUUAUUUACAUAACCAUGUGUAACAUCUCAAUUGCACAUACAGCUCAUUUUUGUUUUAAAACGUUCGUGUUAAGUUUAAAAUAACACUAUCAACAACUCAAAAAAUGUCUGGGGGAUAAAAUUAAGAAUGUGUUGUAGAAUGAAAGAAGAUCAGUGAAAAAUAAUCAAGCACUGAAUCUGAAGUUUUUUAAUUUUUUUAAUGUGUUUUCGGUAGACAGAAUGAUAUAUAUAGGAAUACUACCUAUACAUGUACGUAACCAGGAGGGGGUCCCAGUACCACUGCCAAAACUGUUAUCAUGGAUUUAAAACUAUUUUCCACGUCAUUUUUAUUUAUUUAUUUUUUAUUCAUUUUCAACACAUGAUAUAACACAUACGGCACAUGAUUGUUGCUAGAUCUAGAGCUCCUAAAGGUUAGGAGUCGUUGAUUAAUAAAUAAAUAAAUCGUGACAUUAGGUUUACUGACAAAAAUCAAAAGCACACAAAAGACAAAGGACACGACAUGUGGGACAAAGCAAGGACGAGGGAAACCUAGGUCAGAAAGAUGUUAAAUUUAGUAUCAUUUAAUUUUUAAAUUUGCAACCAGUGAUGCAUUUGUGUGUUAAUCUGUAUUUUAUUUUAAAUGUUAGUUUUAGAUAGUAGAAUUUUGUGAGCUUUUAAUUCGAAUUUGAUAUACUUUUACAUAUUUAUUCAUUUGCUUGCCAAAGAUAAUAUAUGGUUUAUUAAAUCUAAGACCAAGAUUUUUAGCAAUAAUAGUAAUUCUUAUAUUUUCAAUCAAAUUAGAUACAUUUUCACAGUCCCAUAAUAUAUGUGUUAUUGUUUCUGGAUGAGUUUUACAAAAAGUGCACAUAUUAUUAUAUUAUUUACCAAUUUGAAAUAAAAAAUUGUUUGUGGUUAUAAUUCUAUGAUUUAUUCUGAAUUGUAACCAUUGUAACUUGGAAGUGGUACAGGUAUUUAAAGGAUAUUUGUAUAUAUUUUUUCAUGUAUCUUUAUCAAUAUUGAAAUUUUGAUUCCAUUUCUUUUGGGCUGUGGGUUUAACUUCUUUUUUGAUUAAUAUGGUAUAUAUUCCAUGGGCUCCUUUUUUCAACUUAGGAUUAACUUGAGAUUAAUGAGUAUACUAGGUAGUAUAGUAUUUUUUUCUGAAUCGAAAGCUUGGCGGUUUUUCAUUAUGAACUUGACCUAUAACAUUUUUCAGACUCUGAUAACUUAAAAAAUUAACACGAAUGUUAAAUUUUUCACAAAAUUCUUAAAAGCUGUAUAUAAGCUUUUUUUAUAUAUAUUUCUUCCAAUUUCUCAAUUCCAAUAUUUGAUAAUUUCUGAUUAUCUAAUAAUAAUUCUACAACAAGACCCUAAUUUCCUAGUUGACUGUAUAUCCGUCUGAUCCAAGUUGCUUUGAGAGCAGUUAUGAAAGAUUUUAGAUGUAUCAUUUUAAGCCCCCCUUCUUCAUAGUUUUUUUUAAUAAUUAUAUCCCUUUUUACCUGAUCAGGUUUACCAUUCCAUAGAAAAUUGUACAAUAUAUUGUUAAUUUGUUUAAUAUAUAAGUCAACAGGAUUGGGAAGCGAUAUAAACAAAUGAUUAAACUAAGAUAUUAGUAGAGUUUUGAUAACAACUAUUUUACCUAUUGGUGUAAGUAUUCUUUUUUCCCAGACCGAUAUUUUAGAUUUCAGUUUUGCAAACUAUUUGUCAAAAGUCAGUUUGAUAAUUCUGUGAUGGUCUUCAUCAUAUUUUUUGCCUAAUAGAGUGAAGCGUGUACUUCCCCAUUUUAAGUCAAAAUUUGUAGUAAAAGUGUUUUCACUGUAUUUUUUGCUGCCAAUUAAUACUACCUAGGUCUUGGACAAGUUCAUUUUUAGUCCAGAAAUACUAGUAAAGUAGUUAAGAGCUUUUAGUGUUUCAUCUAAAGAUUUUUUUAACCAUCUGGAAUAACAGACGUGUCAUCAGCAAAUUGUGAUAAGAGGAUUUCCUUUUCCCUGAUAAGUAUUCCUUUGAUAUUUUUAUAUAUUUUUUAAAUUAUUGAUAGAAUUUCAGCACAUAAAAUGAAAACAUAUGAAGAUACCGGAUCCCCCUGACGACAGUCUCGUCCUUUAUUAAAAAAAGCUUGAUAAAUUCCCCCCUAUGUUCACUGCUGAAUGUGUAUUAUUCUGAAAAAGUUUUAUCCAUUUGAUAAUGUUCGGGCCAAAAUUUAAAUACUUCAAAGUUUUACUGAUGAAAUUCCUUGAUACAGAGUCGAACGCUUUUUCAAAAUCAAUUAGAAGUAAUAGUCCAGGUAUAUUAUUAUCUUCUGUAUACAGCAUAACAUCAUAAAUCAAGCGUGUUUUCACCUAUGUACCUACGAGGAAUAAAGCCAGUUUGGAUAGUACUGAUUAAUUUACUUACAACAUUUUUGAAUCUCUCAGCUACUGCACCAGAUGUUAAUUUAUAGAUUUUAUUUUAGAAGUGUUUUAGGUCUCCAAUUAUUCAAUUUAUUACGAGGUUUAUUACCUUAAGAAAUGCAAGUUAUAAUUCCCUGUUUUUGUGUUACUGAAAGUUAUGAUAUACUACAUAUAACUGUAAUUUAAUGAUCUUAAAACAAAUGGUCCUGAUUGCUUCCAAAAUAUUUUUAAAAAUUCAACUGUAAAACCAUCGGAACCGGGGCUUUUAUUUUUUUCAUUUUUGAAAGUGUGUUUGUUAAUUAAUUUAUAGUAAGUGGGCCUUCUAUAUUUAAUGAUUAAUGGGCAGAUAGUUUGGGUACAGUGUAUGAUUCUAGAAGUAAUUCAAGAUUAACAUUUUUAAGUGAAUUGUGUUCUUUGUAUAAGGUUCUGUAGUCAUUUUCUGUUUCUUUUGAAAUUUCAUUUUUUUCCACGUCAUGACUUUAUAUUUGAUAAAUCAUUUCUAAGUGAAAAAGUAUGAAAAAAGCUAAGGCAAAAGAAAAAGAAUGCUUUUGGAUCUCUAAUCGAUAUACUGUCGCUCUUGCCAACUUAGUUACCUUGCUAACGCUAACUGCAUAUGCAAAAAAAA